GACGAACGCUGGUGGCGUGCUUAACACAUGCAAGUCGAACGGAAAGGCCCUGCUUUUGUGGGGUGCUCGAGUGGCGAACGGGUGAGUAACACGUGAGUAACCUGCCCUUGACUUUGGGAUAACUUCAGGAAACUGGGGCUAAUACCGGAUAGGAGCUCCUGCUGCAUGGUGGGGGUUGGAAAGUUUCGGCGGUUGGGGAUGGACUCGCGGCUUAUCAGCUUGUUGGUGGGGUAGUGGCUUACCAAGGCUUUGACGGGUAGCCGGCCUGAGAGGGUGACCGGCCACAUUGGGACUGAGAUACGGCCCAGACUCCUACGGGAGGCAGCAGUGGGGAAUAUUGCACAAUGGGCGGAAGCCUGAUGCAGCAACGCCGCGUGCGGGAUGACGGCCUUCGGGUUGUAAACCGCUUUCGCCUGUGACGAAGCGUGAGUGACGGUAAUGGGUAAAGAAGCACCGGCUAACUACGUGCCAGCAGCCGCGGUGAUACGUAGGGUGCGAGCGUUGUCCGGAUUUAUUGGGCGUAAAGGGCUCGUAGGUGGUUGAUCGCGUCGGAAGUGUAAUCUUGGGGCUUAACCCUGAGCGUGCUUUCGAUACGGGUUGACUUGAGGAAGGUAGGGGAGAAUGGAAUUCCUGGUGGAGCGGUGGAAUGCGCAGAUAUCAGGAGGAACACCAGUGGCGAAGGCGGUUCUCUGGGCCUUUCCUGACGCUGAGGAGCGAAAGCGUGGGGAGCGAACAGGCUUAGAUACCCUGGUAGUCCACGCUGUAAACGGUGGGUACUAGGUGUGGGGUCCAUUCCACGGGUUCCGUGCCGUAGCUAACGCUUUAAGUACCCCGCCUGGGGAGUACGGCCGCAAGGCUAAAACUCAAAGGAAUUGACGGGGCCCCGCACAAGCGGCGGAGCAUGCGGAUUAAUUCGAUGCAACGCGUAGAACCUUACCUGGGUUUGACAUGGAUCGGGAGCGCUCAGAGAUGGGUGUGCCUCUUUUGGGGUCGGUUCACAGGUGGUGCAUGGCUGUCGUCAGCUCGUGUCGUGAGAUGUUGGGUUAAGUCCCGCAACGAGCGCAACCCUUGUUCACUGUUGCCAGCACGUUAUGGUGGGGACUCAGUGGAGACCGCCGGGGUCAACUCGGAGGAAGGUGGGGAUGACGUCAAGUCAUCAUGCCCCUUAUGUCCAGGGCUUCACGCAUGCUACAAUGGCUGGUACAGAGAGUGGCGAGCCUGUGAGGGUGAGCGAAUCUCGGAAAGCCGGUCUCAGUUCGGAUUGGGGUCUGCAACUCGACCUCAUGAAGUCGGAGUCGCUAGUAAUCGCAGAUCAGCAACGCUGCGGUGAAUACGUUCCCGGG
rnacentral:rRNA from 1 species